CUUCUUGGAAGUAAAAGUCGUAACAAGGUCUCCGUAGGUGAACCUGCGGAGGGAUCAUUAC
rnacentral:rRNA from 1 species